UAAAACAUUAAACCCUGUGUAGAGCAGCAGAUCUGUGUUUAGCUUUCAACUGCAAGUUCAUUGAGUAAACAUGUUUAUGUAUAUUAUUAUACUGCUAUCAUUAACUAUUGAAGGUUUCAGAGCGACAGAUGUCAUCACUCCAAACACUGACAGUGAAUUUGCUAUUGAAGGGAAUAAUGUGACUCUCUCCUGUAACUAUACUGGAUCUGUUCGUGGUCUUCACUGGUAUCGACAAUAUACAGAUUCAUCACCACAAUUUCUCAUACUGAUCGAUUCAGGAGUAACAACUCUAGCUAAUCCUCCAGUUUCUGGAAUCUCCAUCAAUCACAGAAAAGCUGACAGCAGUGUGGAUCUGAAGAUCUCAUCUGUUAAAGUCACAGACUCUGCUUUGUAUUACUGUGCCAUGAGGCCCACAGUGACAGAAAACACAGGAAACAUGCGAGCACUUGAGACUCCGCCCACCUGA